GUCAAUGUAUCCUCGGAGGUGCUCAGUGUCCACAUUUUACCCCCUUUGACAAAGCAUUUCCAAAUUAAGUACACCAAAAAGUGCCGACUGGUUCCGGGUCUUGCUUACACUGUUACAGUGAACUUCCAGCCAGAUGAGUGGCGUUACUUUUCUGAUAACAUCAGGAUUCACUGCAAGGGAGAGGAGAACUUACUGGUUCCUGUUCAUGCAUAUCCUGUUAUCAACGAUCUUCACAUCCCAUCUCACAUCAGUCUUCCCC